rnacentral:rRNA from 1 species
AUUGAACGCUGGCGGCAUGCCUUACACAUGCAAGUCGAACGGUAACAGGUCUUCGGAUGCUGACGAGUGGCGAACGGGUGUGUAAUACAUCGGAACGUGCCCGAUCGUGGGGGAUAACGGAGCGAAAGCUUUGCUAAUACCGCAUACGAUCUACGGAUGACAGCAGUGGACCGCAAGGCCUUGCGCGGACGGAGCGGCCGAUGGCAGAUGAGGUAGUUGGUGGGAUAAAAGCUUACCAAGCCGACGAUCUGUAGCUGGUCUGAGAGGACGACCAGCCACACUGGGACUGAGACACGGCCCAGACUCCUACGGGAGGAAGCAGUGGGGAAUUUUGGACAAUGGGCGAAAGCCUGAUCCAGCCAUGCCGCGUGCAGGAUGAAGGCCUUCGGGUUGUAAACUGCUGUUGUGCGGAACGAAAAGACUCUUUCUAAUAAAGAGGGUCCAUGACGGUACCGGAAGAAUAAGCACCGGCUAACUACGUG